rnacentral:lncRNA from 1 species
AAAAUUCACAUUAAUAAAAGCUUCACCAAUAGUCAAAUCUAAGCAAAAGACUAGCACCCAUUAAAAAUAAAGUUAACAUCGGAAGAUGAAAAUGGUUCAACAAAAAUACAAAACUAAACCACUAAUACUUCAAACCAAAAAGUAUUCAUCAAACAACAGAAAAUUCUAAGAGCUCUAAAUACGAUUAAACUACUUAGAUCUUUGUCUCAUCUUUCUUCUCUUCCUCUUCAACCUCCUCGUACGCUUCUUCUUCCACUGAAAUAACCCAAAUCAACAUUUCAAUCUAGCACAAUAAGAAAAUAACAGCUCAAAAUUUUGAAGCAUAUACCUUGGCUCUCAUGGUUAAAAGGCUUCCGAAUUCGUAUCCUUGUGCAGUUCAAUCUCUCAGGUUUGAUGUUCUUCUACAGAGACUGCGGCGAGGCCGGGUGUAGGCCAAAAUUCU